AUGGCUAAGAUCCGGGAGAGGAAGACGAGGGAUAUUGGCCAAGUCAAAUGCAUCAAGGACGGAGCAGGCCAACUCUUGGUGAAGGACGAAGAGAUUAAGCAUAGAUGGCGGGAGUACUUCAACAAGCUGUUCAAUGGGGAGAAUGAGAGUUCUACCAUUAAACUGAAUGACUCCUUUGAUGAGACCAGCAUGCGUUUUGUGCGGCGCAUCCAGGAGUCUGAGGUGAAGGAGGCUUUAAAAAGGAUGAAAGGAGGCAAGGCGAUGGGCCCUGAUUGUAUCCCCAUUGAGAUGUGGAAAGGUCUCGAGGACAUAGCGAUAGUAUGGCUAACCAAGCUUUUCAACCUCAUUUUUCGGGCAAACAAGAUGCCAGAAGAAUGGAGACGGAGUAUAUUAGUACCAAUCUUCAAGAACAAGGGGGAUGUUCAGAGUUAUACUAAUUACCGUGGAAUUAAGCUGAUGAGCCAUACAAUGAAGCUAUGGGAGAGAGUCAUUAAGCACCGCUUAAGAAGAAUGACAAGCGUGACCAAAAAUCAGUUUGGUUUCAUGCCUGGGAGGUCGACCAUGGAAACCAUUUUCUUGGUACGACAACUUAUGGAGAGAUAUAGGGAGCAUAAGAAGGACUUGCAUAUGGUGUUCAUUGACUUGGAGAAGGCCUAUGAUAAGAUACCGCGUAAUGUCAUGUGGUGGGCCUUGGGGAAACACAAAGUCCCAGCAAAGUACAUUACCCUCAUCAAGGACAUGUACAAUAAUGUUGUGACAAGUGUUCGAACAAGUGAUGUCGACACCGAUGACUUCCCGAUUAAGAUAGGACUGCAUCAGGGGUCAGCUUUGAGCCCUUAUCUUUUUGCAUUGGUGAUGGAUGAGGUCACAAGGGGUAUACAAGGAGAUAUCCCAUGGUGUAUGCUCUUUGCGGAUGAUGUGGUGCUAGUUGACGAUAGUCGGACGGGGGUAAAUAGGAAGUUAGAGUUAUGGAGACAAACCUUGGAAUCGAAAGGGUUUAGGCUUAGUAGAACUAAAACCGAGUACAUGAUGUGCGGUUUCAGUACUACUAGCUGUGAGGAGGAGGAGGAGGUUAGCCUUGAUGGCCAGGUGGUACCUCGGAAGGACACCUUUCGGUAUUUGGGGUCAAUGUUGCAGGAGGAUGGGGGUAUUGAUGAAGAUGUGAACCAUCGAAUCAAAACCGGAUGGAUGAAGUGGCGCCAAGCUUCUAGCAUUCUCUAUGACAAGAGAGUGCCACAAAAGCUAAAAGGCAAGUUCUACAGGAUGGCGGUUCGACCCGCAAUGUUGUAUGGCGCGGAGUGUUGGCCGACUAAAAGGCGACAUGUUCAACAGUUAGGUGUGGCGGAGAUGCGUAUGUUGAGAUGGAUGUGUGGCCACACGAGGAAGGAUCGAGUCCGGAAUGAUGAUAUACGAGAUAGAGUUGGGGUAGCACCAAUUGAGGAGAAGCUUGUCCAACAUCGUUUGAGAUGGUUUGGGCAUAUUCAGCGCAGGCCUCCAGAAGCUCCAGUGCAUAGCGGAUGGCUAAAGCGUGCGGAGAAUGUCAAGAGAGGGCGGGGUCGACCGAUUUUGACAUGGGAGGAGUCCGUUAAGAGAGACCUGAAGGAUUGGAGUAUCGACAAAGAGCUAGCUAUGGACAGGGGUGCGUGGAAGCUUGCUAUCCAUGUGCCAGAGCCAUGA
rnacentral:rRNA from 1 species